rnacentral:rRNA from 1 species
GAUGAACGCUAGCUACAGGCUUAACACAUGCAAGUCGAGGGGCAGCGGGAUUGAAGCUUGCUUCAAUUGCCGGCGACCGGCGCACGGGUGAGUAACGCGUAUCCAACCUUCCGUACACUCAGGGAUAGCCUUUCGAAAGAAAGAUUAAUACCUGAUGGUAUGAUGAGAUCGCAUGGUAUCAUCAUUAAAGAUUUAUCGGUGUACGAUGGGGAUGCGUUCCAUUAGGUAGUAGGCGGGGUAACGGCCCACCUAGCCUACGAUGGAUAGGGGUUCUGAGAGGAAGGUCCCCCACAUUGGAACUGAGACACGGUCCAAACUCCUACGGGAGGCAGCAGUGAGGAAUAUUGGUCAAUGGACGAGAGUCUGAACCAGCCAAGUAGCGUGAAGGAUGAAGGUCCUACGGAUUGUAAACUGCUUUUAUAAAGGGAAUAAAGUGGGAGUCGUGACUCUUUUUGUCAUGUACCUUAUGAAUAAGGACCGGCUAAUUCCGUGCAGCAGCCGACGG